GCCGCCUUAGCUCAGUUGGUUAGAGCGCCUGAUUGUGGAUCAGGAGGUCCCCCGUUCAAACCGGGGAGGUGGUACCA
rnacentral:tRNA from 3 species